AUGGCUUUUUUAUGGGAAGAGAAUCAGCUCCAUACCCGUUCUUGCAAAAAUUCAGCUGAGUCGCGUUGGACAAUCUUCUCUAUGAAACUGAGGGAAACACUACCUUUUCCGCAUCUACAGAACUUUGAAAAGUUUUUAAGUAACUGCUUAGCCUUCACUCGGCACUUAAGCAAGAUUUCAGUACUUUAUAACUUUACAAAAAUAUUGGAGCUUGAAAAGAAAGUGGCUACUUCUUAUAAAACAAACUUUUGUUUGAACCAACAAAGUCAUAGCUUUCUCUCACUCUUUCUUCCCUCCGAAAGUAAAGACCUUCAGUCACCAUCCGGACUUUUCUCUCUGAAAGACACAGAGAUGAGGGAACUUCACUUAACUUCUACUUU